rnacentral:rRNA from 1 species
GAUGAACGCUGGCGGCGUGCCUAAUACAUGCAAGUCGAGCGAACAGACGAGGAGCUUGCUCCUCUGACGUUAGCGGCGGACGGGUGAGUAACACGUGGAUAACCUACCUAUAAGACUGGGAUAACUUCGGGAAACCGGAGCUAAUACCGGAUAAUAUAUUGAACCGCAUGGUUCAAUAGUGAAAGACGGUUUUGCUGUCACUUAUAGAUGGAUCCGCGCCGCAUUAGCUAGUUGGUAAGGUAACGGCUUACCAAGGCAACGAUGCGUAGCCGACCGGAGAGGGGGAUCGGCCACACGGGAACGUAGACAGGGUCAAGACUCCUACGGGAGGCAGCAGAAGGGAAUCUUCCGCAAAGGGCGAAAGCCUGACGGAGCAACGCCGCGUGAGUGAUGAAGGUCUUCGGAUCGUAAAACUCUGUUAUUAGGGAAGAACAAAUGUGUAAGUAACUAUGCACGUCGUGACGGUACCUAAUCAGAAAGCCACGGCUAACUACGUG